rnacentral:rRNA from 1 species
UAAUACGUAGGUGACAAGCGUUGUCCGGAUUUACUGGGCGUAAAGAGCGCGCAGGCGGUCGUUCAAGUCGAGUGUGAAAGCCCCCGGCUCAACUGGGGAGGGUCACUCGAUACUGAUCGACUCGAAGGCAGGAGAGGGAAGUGGAAUUCCCGGUGUAGUGGUGAAAUGCGUAGAUAUCGGGAGGAACACCAGUGGCGAAGGCGACUUCCUGGCCUGUUCUUGACGCUGAGGCGCGAAAGCUAGGGGAGCAAACGGG